AUCAUAUCGAUGUUCUCCAAAGCAAAAAACGGUCAGGACUCCGGUGACCGUACGAACACCAAAAGAAGAGGCACACACUCAGAGUGAUAAUGCUGUUGCCGAUUCAUUUAUCAAUUACGAUAAUGCCUACCACGUCUCUAUGAGCCCGAUGGUGAAUGAAGAUUUUAAUGAGGAUCCCGAAAU